rnacentral:rRNA from 1 species
GGGGGCUAACUGGCAGUUCGAACGAGUUCUUCGGACUUAGUGGCGGACGGGUGAGUAACGCGUGAGAAUCUACCUUCAGGACGGGGACAACAGCUGGAAACGGCUGCUAAUACCCGAUAUGCCGAAAGGUGAAAAGUUGUUUCGCCUGGAGAGGAGCUCGCGUCCGAUUAGCUAGUUGGUGAGGUAAAAGCUUACCAAGGCGACGAUCGGUAGCUGGUCUGAGAGGAUGAGCAGCCACACUGGAACUGAGACAUGUUCUAACUCCUACGGGAGGCAGCAGUGGGGAUUUUUCCGCAAUGGGCGAAAGCCUGACGGAGCACGCCGCGUGGGGGAGAGGUUUUUGGAUUGUAAACCCCUUUUCUCAAGGAAGAACAAAAUGACGGUACUUGAGGAAUCAGCCUCGGCUAACUCCGUGCCAGCAGCCGCGGUAAUACGGAGGAGGCAAGCGUUAUCCGGAAUUAUUGGGCGUAAAGCGUUCGUAGGCGGCUGUUCAAGUCUGCUGUCAAAGACCGAGGCUCAACCUCGGGUCGGCAGUGGAAACUGGAUAGCUAGAGGUCGGUAGGGGCAGAGGGAAUUCCCAGUGUAGCGGUGAAAUGCGUAGAUAUUGGGAAGAACACCGGUGGCGAAAGCGCUCUGCUGGGCCGAACCUGACGCUGAGGGACGAAAGCUAGGGGAGCGAAUGGGAUUAGAUACCCCAGUAGUCCUAGCCGUAAACGAUGGAAACUAGGUGUGGCCUGUAUCGACCCGGGCCGUGCCGAAGCUAACGCGUUAAGUUUCCCGCCUGGGGAGUACGCACGCAAGUGUGAAACUCAAAGGAAUUGACGGGGGCCCGCACAAGCGGUGGAGUAUGUGGUUUAAUUCGAUGCAACGCGAAGAACCUUACCAGGGCUUGACAUGCCGCGAAUCUUCCUGAAAGGGAAGAGUGCCUACGGGAGCGCGGACACAGGUGGUGCAUGGCUGUCGUCAGCUCGUGUCGUGAGAUGUUGGGUUAAGUCCCGCAACGAGCGCAACCCUCGUCCUUAGUUGCCAUCAUUAAGUUGGGCACUCUAGGGAGACUGCCGGUGAUAAACCGGGAGGAAGGUGGGGGAUGACGUCAAGUCAUCAUGCCCCAUAUGUCCUGGCUACACACGUACUACAUGGUCGGGACACGAGCAGCACUCGCAGAGCGCGCUAAUCUUUUUAAACCCGGCCUCCAGUUCAGAUUGCAGGCUGCAACUCGCCUGCAUGAAAGGAAGGAAUCGCUAGUAAUCGCAGGUCAGCAUACUGCGGGGAAUCCGUUUCCCGGGCCUUGUACACACCGCCCGUCACACCAUGGAAGUUGGCCAUGCCCGAAGUCGUUACCCUAACCGUUCGCGGAGGGGGAUGCCGAAGGCAGGGCUGAUGACUGGGGUGAAGUCGUAACAAGGUAGCCGUACCGGAAGGUGUGGCUGGAUCACCUCCUUUUUAGGGAGACCUAAACCCAAGACCUUGAGGAUGUAAGUAAGCCCAAGGAAUUGAGGUCAACCUCGCUCGGUCGGAGACUCGUCGAAGCUUUCAAACGAUUAAGAGGUUAGGAACCCGAGGGAAUCAAAGAAAUGUGAAGAACUCGGACAAGAGACCAACCUUGAAAUGGGCUAUUAGCUCAGGUGGUUAGAGCGCACCCCUGAUAAGGGUGAGGUCCCUGGUUCAAGUCCAGGAUGGCCCACCUAAGACUUAGUGCUGUCAGUAGCAGUCAUUAAGAAAAUGGGGGUAUAGCUCAGUUGGUAGAGCGCCUGCUUUGCAAGCAGGAUGUCAGCGGUUCGAGUCCGCUUACCUCCAUGCUGGUCUCGCCCCAAAAAAAUCCUAAACUCAAAAGCCAAGAUCACUCAGCACCUGAGAAAGACUCAGACUGCUGGGAGAUCCCAGCGAGAACCUUGAAAACUGCAUAGUCAACCUAAAAAAAGUCAGGUGAAGUCGAGACCUCGAAAAGAGAGGUCAA